UACGUAGGGACCGAGCGUUUGUCCGGAUUCAUUGGGCGUAAAGAGCUCGUAGGCGGCUGCUCAAGUCGAAUGUGAAAACUCGAGGCUCAACCUCGAGCCUGCAUUCGAUACUGGGCGGCUAGAGUCUGGUAGGGGGGAUCUGGAAUUCCUGGUGUAGCGGUGGAAUGCGCAGAUAUCAGGAGGAACACCGGUGGCGAAGGGCGGGAUCCGUGGGCCGAUACUGACGCUGAGGAGCGAAAGCGUGGGGAGCGAACAGG
rnacentral:rRNA from 1 species